GACGAACGCUGGCGGCGUGCCUAAUACAUGCAAGUCGAGCGAAGUUUUUCUGGUGCUUGCACCGGAAAAACUUAGCGGCGACCGGGUGAGUAACACGUAAAGAACCUGCCUCAUAGACUGGGACAACUAUUGGAAACGAUAGCUAAUACCGGAUAAUAGCAUUAACUGCAUGGUUGAUGUUUAAAAGUUGGUUUUGCUAACACUAUGAGAUGGCUUUGCGGUGCAUUAGCUAGUUGGUGGGGUAAAGGCCUACCAAGGCGACGAUGCAUAGCCGACCUGAGAGGGUGAUCGGCCACACUGGGACUGAGACACGGCCCAGACUCCUACGGGAGGCAGCAGUAGGGAAUCUUCCGCAAUGGGCGAAAGCCUGACGGAGCAACGCCGCGUGAGUGAAGAAGAAUUUCGGUUCGUAAAGCUCUGUUGUUAGGGAAGAAUGAUUGUGUAGUAACUAUACACAGUAGAGACGGUACCUAACCAGAAAGCCACGGCUAACUACGUG
rnacentral:rRNA from 1 species